rnacentral:rRNA from 1 species
GGUACCGUCAGUCGGACCGUGUAUUACUCGAUCCGGGGUUCGUCCCACCUGACAGGGGUUUACAACCCUGAGGCCUUCCUCCCCCACGCGGCGUCGCUGCGUCAGGCUUUUCGCCCAUUGCGCAAUAUUCCCC